UUGGUGCCUUCGGGAACUGUGAGACAGGUGCUGCAUGGCUGUCGUCAGCUCGUGUUGUGAAAUGUUGGGUUAAGUCCCGCAACGAGCGCAACCCUUAUCCUUUGUUGCCAGCGGUUAGGCCGGGAACUCAAAGGAGACUGCCAGUGAUAAACUGGAGGAAGGUGGGGAUGACGUCAAGUCAUCAUGGCCCUUACGACCAGGGCUACACACGUGCUACAAUGGCAUAUACAAAGAGAAGCGACCU
rnacentral:rRNA from 4 species